rnacentral:lncRNA from 1 species
AGCUUAUUGCUGGUUAAUGGGAACAACCAAUGAUACAUGGAUGAGGUGAGAUUGUUGUUUACAAGACCAAGGACUUCAAUAGAUGAAGAAGAGUUGAGAAAUGAAGAAGAAUACGGAUACAUGACCUGUGAGAGCUCACAACUCUGCAAACUCAAGAAAUUUAGUUUCCGUAGACUCAAAAUGACAUCCACCCAGUGAGUUGCUUUAGCCAAAGAAAUCCCAUUCAUGACAAGCUCCUCCAGAUAAGAUAGGCCAGACAACCACUCUGGGUUUUCAACUCUACAUCUUCCAACAAAUCCAAGGUAAAGCCAUUGCAAGUUGGUGAGGUUUCCAAACUCUGGAGGAAUGGUUCCAUAAAGAGAGUUAUUUGAUAGGCUAAGGAACCUUAGUUCAGUCAAGGAACCAAUGGACCUGGGAAUGGUUCCAUGAAAAGAAUUGCCAGAAAGAUCAAGAUGAUUCAAGUAGGUUAAGUUAGCCAAUGAAUGGCUAAUCUCACCUUCAAGACUACACAAACCGAUAUCAAGCCCUGUGACAUGACCGGUUUGGUUGUUGCAUGUGACUCCAAGCCAUUUACAGCAGUUAUGUUUGUCAUCUUUCCAUGUAGAGAGAAUACCAUUGGGGUCUUUAAGGAGGGCUUUGAAAUGAAGGAGAGCAUGUAUCUCCUUAUCCAAACACUUGUUUAUAACAACAUUAUCAUCACCUCCUCCAACUACUACCAAUUGGUUAGCGAUUGUAGUCUCAAGACUUGGCAAGAGAAGUGAGAAAAUUAUAAAAACACAAUGAUACAUAACGUAAACGCAAAUAUUGGUGAGUUUUUGGAUUGUAUUGAUGCAUAUAUGAACUGCCCCCAGGAGGGUUUAUAUAGUGUCUUCUGUGACAUGAAGGGUUCUAAGUGGAUGGCCUCAAAUUGGUGGCCCACUUGUGUGGAGCAUACAAUACUUCAUUUUCAUGAAAUUGGAUAUAAAAUUGGAAUUAGUUGCCCCAAAUUAGAUGCUCAAAGACUUACAAGUCUUGACGAUUUGUAUUUUUUAUAAAUAUCUUUUCCCAUCGUAUGAUAUUUUUUUGUCCUCAAGUUAUGUAUAAUACAAAUCCCAAGAAAACAAAAACUGAUAGAAUCAGAUACAGUAACCAUACAUGAAGAUCUGAUAUGAUAUCAAUUCAGACUAAGCAUUUAAUAACUAUGAAACGACUUUUUCUCAUUUUGAUUAUUUAUAUUGUGAAUUUGUUUGAAUCAAAGCCAGGUCAAUUUAAUCCACGGCCUUCUACAUUGUUAAAAAUAAAUAUUUUGAUAAUAAAAAAAAAAACCUUCCGCUAGCAGUGACUAAAAAAGAGGGUAAGAAAUUUACAAAAUUAUUAUAAAUCUCAAAACAGCAAGGCAUGAAUUCUUUCAAUUUAUCAUCUACACUAAAAUUUUUACAUAUUUAUUAACUAAAAUAACUAUCUAGACCCUGCCUAGCUUUGACACUAUUAAAUUAAUUUUUUUCACAGACAAAACAAUGUAAAAUAGGCACUAGCACUGAGUAUCAUGUAUUGCUAUCUAAUUAAAGAGUGGAUAAAAAACCUUAAACUAGAAGUGAGUAGUGACUGAGUAUCCCGUAAGAAGAAAACUAAACUGAUAGUGGUAUGACUUCGUCAAUGACAGGUGGCUAUUUUUAGUGCUCAAUAUUAACUCAGUGACUGGGACAACAAUACGACUUUUUCUAUAUUGUAAGAAAUCUUCCUUCUCAAUUAUUGGUCUUGAUGUAACAAUCUAAAAGCAACACCAAGAAAAAAACAACAACUAGAUUACACAUAAUCUGAAGCGAUGGGACCCAUAAUAUACUACUGAAAAUAAAAAAAAUAAAGACAAAAAUCAAACUAAGGUUCUCACAUAGCAUCAAUUAACCAAUGUAGGCAGGUUAUUUUUAAUGCAUUUAGGAAAACGGACAUUAAUUGUACAAAAAAAAGAAAUAAUAAUAAUAAUAAUAAUAAUAAUAAUAAUAAUAAUAAUAAUAAUAAUAGAAAGAAGGGAUGCAUCAAGAAAUAGCAUCAUACUUUCAAUCUUGAUAAAAUGGUUGUUGGGCAAUUUGGUAAAAAGGGAUGCAUAAAGAAAUAGAAAUAUGCUUUAAAUCUUGAAUAGCAACACACUUUUAAACAAUAAGCAAGAAAAGGAAGUUACUUGGAUGUAUAAAACACUACUAGAAAGUUGACUUUCAGCUACGGAUUUAGAGAGGGAUCUAUUCUGUAGCAAAAUUUUGGCUUAUAGAGAGGGAAUUACGAGAGAUCUGCGAUGGUUUAAACAAGUAUUUUAUUUAUUCAACAUAUAGCAUAUUAGAGAGGGUUUAGCGAGGGAUAAGUUACGGAUGUUACAAGUCUUUAUCGACGCGCCCUUAUUCCUCGGUAAUCGGUGGAAAACGAAGGCAUUUGGCGAGGGUUCAACGAGGGAAAAAAAAUCUUCGACUUGUUGCCAUCUGGUAUGUAUUUAGCGAGAGAACGCCGAGGGAGCAUACACACGCUAUGUUUUUUUAAUUGAAGAUCUCUCGCUAAAAUUGACGAAUCCAAGUCCAGUUUCACGAAGUUUGUGUAAGUCUCCUUCCCUCCCAAAUCUGCUUUAUCACUCUAAUUGAACACGAAGUUUGACUCUCGAGUUGCAGCUUAACCUAAUCUCACCAUCUCCGUUCAAACAGAUGACGACACCAUGGACCAUUGCAGCUUCCGAUUCCCGCAGCCUAUUCUUCCUUAACUUCUGAUUCAGGUAAACCUCUUGAUUUUAUUUGCUUUAGUCAUAUAUUAGGUUAGGUUUGGUUCAAUUGCAGAAUAUAUUACGUUAGGGUUUAAUUUCUCUGUUUUUUUUCCUUUUUCAAUCGUCAUUCCUCUUAUAUCGAUUGCGUUAGGGUUUAAUUUCUUACUCUUUGCUACUGAUCGGCUCAAAUAUGUAAUUUUGAAUAAUUUUUCAAUCUUAUUAGAAUAGAUACUUAGAAUAAGAACUUGAUAUAGGGCUUGAUUGGUUGCUUUAGUCCUAUAUAAGCCUGGUAGCAUAAGUUUUGUGCAUCAAAGCCUCACCCUGAAGCUCUCCUGUCAUCUCUGUACAUGCAUCCAUAUGCUCUGCAGCAAGCCCAACAGCACCAGUUUCUUAGGAAAUCAUUGUUUGAAUGGAGAAGAUUCAUCACCCAUCUCAUAGUUAUAGGAUGAAUUGCUUCAUCAAAAAAGUAAGUUAUAAACUUGGAGGAGGCAAUCUUAUGCCAUUGUUCAAGAAGCUAUUCUGAUGUAAUGGUCACUACUAGAUCAAUUAGCAUCUCAAGCAACAUGCUUCUAACAAUAAUGUGUUUCCCCAUUGAUUCUCUUAAAAUCUCAUUUCUUCAUGUUAGCUCUAGUGGAUCAAAAGUCAUGAUCACAAACCUAAGAACAUGCUCCUAGAAUAGUGACUAACUUUUUCUAACACUGGAAUUUCAACAUCACCCCUGUGAAGUGUAACUAACAGAUAAAGGAACUGUGGGUGUAUGUGUAUGUGUAUGUGCAUGGACAACCAUACCCUUUUCAGGUUCCUUUGGUCAACAAACACCCUUUGACUUUCUUUCUGGGUGUGUGGGUAUCAACAUGCUUUGCAUAUUCUUGUAAUUUUAUUAUAUUUGUUUUUUUGUUAAGUUAAUACCCUUUGCCCUCUCCAUUUCAACCUCUUUCUAAGCUUUCUUCUUAUCUAGUUUAGCAUGUUUAUAGUUUUCUUCAUGAGCUUUUCUAAACAGCCUCACAAAGUUCAAAAGGGUCUGUGUAACUGCAUUGCUGCCCCUGUAUAUAUGGGCUAGGGCUGUUUCUUUUUGGAUUAAAAGACUCUCUCUUUCUCCCCUGUCUUGUUAUCAAACCUGAACCUGAAACUGAUCUGAGGGAUGCCCACGAAGAAUGGCUUGUGCAACACCUUGCUCUGACUCUGCAUUAUGAAAAAAAACUAACCAUAAGCUGAUAGAAUUGUAACUUGUACACUAAGAAGAUUGAUAGAAGAAAUGACUAGUUUAAAUGUCUAUAAUCAAUCACUAUAUACAGAAGAGUAAGAAAGCAAUUACUAUCUAAGAAAGAAGAAUUAUCUAUUACCUGCCCAAAAUGGAGGAACACCACAUAAUAGAAUGUAAAGAAUUACUCCUGCACUCCAGAUAUCAAUCUCUGGUCCAUAAUUACGCUUGAGGACCUCUGGAGCCAUGUAAUAUGGGCUUCCAACUAUUUCAGAGAACUUCUCACUUGUAUAUUUAACAUCUUGUUUAUUAGAAGGUUCAUUAAAGAUUUCUAACUAUUCCAACUAUACUCAAUCUUCAUGUUAAGUGAUGUUUUCUAAUAUAGAUCAUUGAACUGAAUUUGUCCUAAGAUAAGGCAGCUAAGUAGAAUAAGACAGUAGAUUGUGUGUAUCCAAUAGAUACAAUGAUUAGGAACCUUAAUUGUCUACUAAUUUCCUGACUAGAAGCUGUAAUCCUUAAUUUAUGGUAAUUCUGGAAGGAGAGAUAUAGUCACCUGGCUUGAAGAAGAUAGACAUGCCAAAAUCAAUAGCUUUCUCAGGUCCCUUAGAUUUCUCAGGUCCCUUAUCACAUAUCAUACAUAAUGGAUUUUUCAUCUUGUUCUUAACUCAUUUCUUACUGAACUCAUUCAACGAUUUCAUAUAUGAUCAUGUGGGUAAUAGAUUAAAGAUAUUAAUAAUCAAAUGGAAGAGACAACUAGCAUAUGAUCCCUUCAACCUUUAAAAUAAACAGAAAAAAGUAAUUCACUGUCAAAACCAUGUUUUCAAUUUGUAUCAAAUCUAUACAUAAGCUUAGAAGUUAUUUAACAUUAUUUUUCAUUAACUGCAUCAAUAGUGAACCAAUAUGUCUAGGAGUGUGCAGGAGUGCUUUAGGAGGAGACUUGUAAUGCACACUUAAAUUCAAAAAUAUAACAUCCUUAACACCCUAAUAUUAAUCUUCACAAAUGAGAUAUAGAAGAUGGAGAAACAAUAAGGGAUACCUUUUCAAAUAAUAAAAAUCCUUUACAGAUAACACAUCUAACAUAAGGGAUUCGAGUGGAGAAAAUCUCUCUACAAAUGUGGGGAUUACUAAUGAAAGCAGACAAAAGAACAUAUGAAAAAGAUGUUAAGAUAUAAAUAAAUAUUUUUAGCCCAUGUAGUUUUAAUUUUCCAAAAUAAAACACUUACCGUUCCAGUGCCUUCACAAGUUAUAUAUGUACACACCAUAACCUAAUUUAAUUUGUCUGAUCAAAUAGUCUCGGAUUUGUUAGGAUAAGCCAUAUAUAUAUAUAUAUAUAUANAUAUGUACACACCAUAACCCAAUUUAAUUUGUCUGAUCAAAUAGUCUCGGAUUUGUUAGGAUAAGCCAUAUAUGAUGAAAGUUCUCCUCACUAGCUAGCUAGAUAUAAUGGUAUAUAUCAAUCAUGGAUCCUUGAAAACUGUGAAAUUAAUCCAACCUAACUCUCUUACCACAUAACUCGUUGGUCACAUCUCACAUGCACUUGGGAGUUAAUUAGGACCAAAAAUUAAGUGCACAGUUGGUGGAGGGUUUGUGCCACCUUUGAUGCAUGUCUUUUUUUAUAUAUUUAUAUAUAUUUUUUUAUUUUUGUAAAUGUAAGUACUCCUCAAACAACUACAUCUAUUGCAUUGGUUAAUCUUCAUUUGUGUUUAGAGUUUCAUGUGCUAGCAGGGUACCUAUCUGAUGAUACCAGGAAAUUAAUAUUAUGUAAACUGUUGUCGGUUUUAAUUAUUUAAAAUAGGUCAUAAUCAUACCUACCAAAUUUAGUUACAUGAUGUAUAAUUUUUUUUUUUUUUUAAAAAGAACAUAGGUAAUAAAAACUUUUUAGGGAUUUUCUAAUAUGUGUCGUAAAGACACGUAUAAAAAACAUUGAUUAUAACAAAUAUUAUUAUAAUUAAACAAGUUUAUAAUCCGUAGUUUUAAUUUUCCAAAAUUACAUUUUUAGCCCCUGUAGUUUUUAAUUUGCAAAAGUUAAAUUUCUGGUCCUUGAAGUUUUAAAUUUCUGAAAUUACAAUUUUGGUCACUGUGAAAGAGGGAAAUAAGCAAGACACUUUUGGUCCCUAUAGUUCUAGUUUUCCAUAAUUAUCUUUUUGGUGAUGCUUUUAAUAAAAAUAAGUAUUUCAUGUAGUAUAACUGUAGUUUCCAAGGAUGCUUUUAGUAAUGUGGAUAUGAUUGCAUUAUCUAAUUUCUAAAUAAUAGUUAUAUAUUUGUUUGUAGCUAGUCAUUAUGUCAACACGUAGUGAUAGAGAUUGGAUGUACAAAAGGUUAGAUCAUGGGUAUCUUAGCACAACAUAUCAUGCAUCCGUCAAAGGAUUUUUGGAUGUUGCUUUUUCUAAUGAAGCAACUGUUGAUGGGGAUUAUAUUAGAUGUCCUUGUUUUAAAUGCAAGAACAUGUAUUAUAAAACAAGAGGUGAUGUAGAGCUUCACUUGUUACAAAACGGUUUCACUCCUAAUUACACAACUUGGUGGGCACAUGGUGAAAGAAAUACGAUAUCUCAGCAUGAGGAAGAAUCUUCUAAUUCGAUGCAGGAUCUGAUGGAAGAUGAUGAUGAUGAUGAUGUUAAUGGGUGUACAUAAAUGUUGAUGGAUGUAAUGGAGGAACUCCCAAAUCCAAAUGCCAAGGGGUUCUAUGAUAUGUUGGAAGAUGCUGAUGAACCUUUGUGGGAUGGAUGUGAAAAUUAUUCAAAAUUACAAGCUGCAACAGAGUUGUUGCAUUGGAAGUCAGAAUACAAUAUAUCUGAGGCUGCUUAUGAUCACAUACUUCCUAUAAUUAAGCGGAUGCUACCCAAAGGUGAGAAACUAGUUGAGAACUUCUAUGAGACGAAGAAGCUUUUGAAAAUAAUUAGACUCCCAGAAAAAAAGAUCCAUGCUUGCAAAAACCAUUGCAUGAUAUUCUAUGGGGCAGAUUCUGAUUUGACUAAGUGUCGAGUGUGUGAUCAUGAUCGGUACAAGAGUGGCAAACUGCCUUAUUUGGUUAUGAGGUACUUGCCGAUUGCUCCUAGACUCCAAAGGUUGUAUUUGACAAAAAAGACGGCAAAGCAAAUGACAUGGCACUAUGAACAUCAAACGGAACCGGGUUUGAUGGUCCAUCCAAGUGAUGGUGAGGCUUGGAAGCAUUUCGACUCAAUGCAUCAAGAAUUUUCAAGUGAACCACGGAAUGUUCGCCUUGGGCUAUGCACCGAUGGGUUCAGUCCAAAUAACUCAAAUACAACCCCGUAUUCAUGUUGGCCUGUUUUCCUUUCAAUUUAUAACUUGCCUCCUUGGAUGUGCUUAAAAGAACCAUAUGUUCAAUUAAGCAUAGUUAUUCCUGGAAAAAAGAGCCCAGGUCAAAAUAUAGAUGUGUUUCUCAGGCCGCUAAUUGACGAGUUAAAGAUGCUAUAUACAGACGGUGUUGUCACUUAUGAUGCUUCGACUAAAUGCAAUUUCACAAUGAAAGCUAUACUUCUUUGGACAGUUAGUGACUUUCCUGCUUAUGCAAUGUUAUCGGGAUGGAGCACACAUGGCAAGUUAGCAUGUCCGUAUUGUAUGGGUGAGUCGGGGUCGUUUCGGUUACACCAUGGUAGUAAACCAUGUUGGUUUGACUGCCAUCGAAAAUUUUUACCUGAACAACACACAUAUCGGGGUGACAAAACAGGAUUUCUGGCUAAUAAGGUUGAGCGAUCUAGCCCCCCACCAAUAUUAACCGGUGAUCAGAUUUGGGAGCAAGUACGACACUUUCCAACUGUUUAUGAAGGCAAACCUUUUAGAGCAAAGAAUGCAAAAUUGCCUGGUUUCGGGAUUACUCAUAAUUGGGUUAAGAGGAGCAUCUUUUGGGAGCUACCAUAUUGGCGGAAGUUGUUAAUACGACACAACCUUGAUCCCAUGCACAUUGAGACAAAUGUGUUUGAAAAUCUUUUCAACACCGUGAUGGACACUCCGAAAAGCAAAGACAACAUGAAUGCAAGAAAAGAUAUAGAAAUGUAUUGCAAUCGAGUGCAAUGGCAUACAUGGAAGAAGGGAAAUAAGGAUAUGAAAAAUAGAGCAUCGUUUGCUUUGAGCAAAGAACAAGUAGCUAAAAUAUGCCAAUGGUUGAUUAAACUUAAAUUCCCGGACGGAUACGCCUCAAACUUGGGGGGGUGCGUUAAUGUAGAUGAUAAUAGCUUUUACAAAUUCAAGAGUCACGAGUGCCAUGUAUUUCUUCAAAGAUUGUUGCCUAUUUCUCUAAGAGGUAUGGUGCCAAACUCAACAUGGGAUGCAAUUACAGAGUUGUGUACAUUCUUUCGUGUAAUAUGUUCAAGGGUGUUACGCGUAGAUGACUUACAACGCUUGCAAACUACUAUUGUUGAAACCAUUUGCAAGUUGGAAAAAAUAUUUCCACCUGGAUUCUUUGAUUCAAUGGAGCAUCUUGUUAUCCACUUAGCUCGAGAAGCUAUGCUUGGUGGUCCGGUUCAAUAUAGGUGGAUGUAUCUUUAUGAAAGGUAUAUUUUUUACCAUACAAAAUAUUCUACCAUAAAACCUAUGGAAUUUCUAAUAAGUCUUUUCCAACAUCUUUUUAGGAAAUUGGGAUCAAUGAAAAGAAAGAUAAAAAACCAUGCGAAGGUUGAGGGGUCCAUUGUUGAGGCUUACAUGAUUGGAGAAAUAUCGACUUUUUGCUCACAAUACUUUUUGCCUACAAUUGAAACCCGGUUGAAUCGUGAGUCGCGUAAUUUUGCCCCAGACAUUCCUAGUUAUACCAUGGUCGACUCUCGAUUAAGCAUUUUCAAAGUUCCAUCUCGAAGAUUAUUCGAAAAAAGUGGUCAACGCAGGCCUUUGACAGAUGAUGAGAUGCGUAUUGCUCAUAAUUACAUCUUGAUCAAUUGUGUUGAGGUUCUACCUUUUUUAAGGUAUGUCAAGUUAUCUAUUUUUCCUUGAUUUCGUGAAACUCUAAAAUUUUUGUUAUUUUUUAAGGUUGUUUGAAAAUUAUGUGAUCCAAAGCCAACCUGAUAUGGAUGAUGGAGCAUUUGAAAGGUUUAGGGAUCAACAUUUUGCUAAGUGGUUUAAAGAUCAUGUGAGUAUGAUACGAGAAAAUUUUGUAUUACCAAAGUGUCUUCCCCCGUGAAUUAGUUAACAAAUGAAUUUAUCAAUGUAGGUUUUUCAACAAUCAAAUGAUAUCAAUCAACAUCUGAAAUGCCUUGCACGAGGACCAUUACGACAUGUUAGGUCCUAUAAAGGAUACUUUGUCAAUGGUUACAAGUUUCAUACUGAAAAAUAUGGUGAUGGACGGGUCACACACAAUAGUGGUGUAUGUGUAAGAGGUACUUGUUACAAUGAGACUGAGUGUGACUAUUAUGGGUUGUUGGAUGAGGUCUUGGAAGUAGAAUAUCAAGGCAUAGGGCGUUGUGUCGUAGUAUUAUUCAAGUGUACAUGGUUUAACCCUACUGAAGGGGUACGUGUGGAUCGAAAGCAUAAUUUGGUUGAUAUUAAAUACAAAUCAAGGCUAAGAAAUGAAGAUCCGUUUAUCCUAGCGUCACAAGCAGAACAAGUGUAUUAUGCACCAUAUCCUGCAAUGAAGGAUUUGAAAGAUUGGUGGGCUGUCGUCAAGACGAAACCAAGGGGUGUAUAUGAUCUACGACAAUGUGUUACUGAAGAAGAUGAUGAUGAGGAUGAAGAGGACCAAUUCUUUCAAGAAAGUGAAGCGACUUUACCUUCUACAAGUAGCGGUGCAAAUGAGGUGGCAGGACCCCUUUCUCAUGUAAUUGAAGGAGAAAUAGAAGAAGUUAAUGACAAUGACAUUGAGAGAGAAGAGGAUGAAGAAGUUGAUGAUAACUUGGAUGAUUCAUCCGAAGAUGAUAUUGAAGAUGAAAACAUAUGUGAUGAUAAUUCUGAUGAUGAGUAAUUACUAAAAAUGUAGAAUGAAACAAUGUAUUUGGAACUAUAUAUUUUGCCUAAUGGACCUUAUAAAUAACUUUUUAGCUAAAAUGAUCGUUUUCUUUUUCUAUAUACAUUGCACUUCCAUUUAUUUGUGUAUUAUAGCAUGUUACCUUCUCUUACUUCUAUAAUUUUCUAUUAUAAUACAUACUUGUUCUAACCAAUAGUUUAUUAAUUCUUGAUUUUAAGGGUUAUUUUUUUGACUAAUGGCGCAACGAGGAGCCCGUGGUGGUGGUCGCAGUGGUAGUCACAUUAGUGGUCGUGAUGCUGGAGAUAGAAAUGCAUCCCAAUCAUACAAUGAUGCAGAAAGUCAACCUUCUUCUUCAGUUAGAGGAUCAAACAUCUUAGAACAAGUUCCAAGUAACCCAUCAAAAAGGAAGUUCAUUGAAGUCGAUUCUGAAAAGGAGUACUAAAGUUAAUUUUACAAUUGUUUAUGAAAAUGAAUUUACUUGUUAAUGAUAAUACUAAUGCUAAUUUUUUAAUUUUUAAAUUUUUGCAAGAUUUACGGAUCAGAUUUCAGUGAUCAGAGCCAUCACAUGUAUACUGAAGACGAUGUUUGACGGCCCAUGGACCUCAUGGAAGAAGGUUGACAAAGAACAUCGUGAUGCAAUGUGGGAACACUUCAAGGUUUGUACUUAUUAUUUUUAUGAUUUAUCAAAGUAAAAAUUGGUAUAAAAUGAAAAAGAUAAUUGUAUGCGUGAUCUACAUGUAGGGUUUGUAUGUUUGGCCCGAAGAGACUGAUGUUCUUGCUCGCAAGGUAUGGGAAGACUGUAUGAAGAAACGAUUUCCUGACGUAAUGCGAAGAGCACGUGAAGCAUCUUUAAAACUUGCCAAAGCUGCAAAUGUGAAUGCCUCACUAGAAGGUGAUUUAAAUUUGCUAAAGGACUAUCGUCCAAAUUGGAUAAAAAAAGAGUAUUGGGAGAAAAUGAUCAAUGAAGUGUGGACCACAUCCAAAUGGAAACGUUUAUCACAAUCAGGGAAAAAUAACAGAAAUAANAAUUAGAACAUGGCUCUGUUUCCAAACAUACCGGGGGGUCUAUAUCUAUUCGUCAACAUAAGAAAAGAAUGGUAAGAUGUUUGCAUCUCACCUUAGUUUCCACUUAGACUGUUGAGUUUUGUUUUGUUUUUAAUUGUUUACUAAUGGAUUUUGUAGCAAGCAAUGCUUAAACGCCCUCCUACAGGAGUUGAACUUUAUGCAAGGUUUCACACUAAACGGUAUACUCAAGAGUACAUUACACCAAAGGCAGCUAAAGUUAAGGUAUUUUCAAUUCUUUUUUUCAGGAAACAAAACUUCCUACUACUCGGGUUAAUGACUUUGUUAAAGCAACUAAUUGACAGAAAACAAAUCUUUCGUAAGUAGUAAUCAACUUACAAAAGAAAAGAAACAAAUUAUUAUCUCUAAAUGUUUGAUCCUCUACCUAGUUGUAAUUAAGUGUUUUUUAAGUAGUAAUCAACUUUAUGCAAGGUUUGAGUAUUAAUUAAUAAGAGGCUUAUGAAGUGGUUCAUUCUAUUCCUUGAUUAUGAAUUUAAUGGUAUGGAAUGAACCAUUCCAUUCCUUAUUUCAUGUUUCUAUUUUUCAUAUUUUUUUUGCUAUAAUAGGAGGCUUAUGAAAGUGCUAUGGUGGCUAAGUUUGGUGAUGAUACUAGUUGCCACCCCCUCUUGGAUAAUGAAACAUGGUGUGAUGUUUCCGGAGGAGUCAAGAAAGGAAGAAUAUAUGGAUUCGGAUCUGUGUCUGAUCCAGCGAGCUUUUUGGAAGGAACAUCUAGUACAAUAACAUCCCAAGAGGUUCGUUUAAUUUUGUACUUUAUAAAAAUUUCCUAUCAUAGCAUUGUACUUACAAAGUUUCCUAUCAUGGCAUUGUACUUACAAAGUUUCCUAUCAUGGCAUUGUACUUACAAAGUUUUCUAUCAUGGUAUUAUACUUACAAAGUUUCCUAUCAUGGCAUUGUACUUACAAAGUUUCCUAUCAUGGCAUUGUACUUACAAAUUUUCCUAUCAUGGCAUUGUACUUACAAAGUUUCCUAUCAUGGUAUUGUACUUUAGGUUGUCUAUGAACGUGUACGAAACGAGAUGUGUGGCGAAAUGGAUGCUAAAGCUGCAGAAAUGGAAGCUAAACAUCAACAAAUGCGUGAGGAAAUGGAUGCCAAAGCUGCAGCAAUAGAUGCCAAACAACAACAAAUUGAUGCAAAAUAUGAAGCAAUGGAGAAGAUGUAUGCAGCCUUGCAAAAUAUGAUGGGAAAUUGAAAAGUAGAGGUAAUAUGAUGUUAACCAUUAGUAUUUGAUGUUUUUGAAUGACUUGUUAACCUUUUGUAUUUGAUGUUUUUGAUUGUUUUGAAUAAUGUUUUAUAGGAAUGAGAACCGAAGAUGAUUGGAUGGACAUGAAAUGAAGAUAGCAGCUAAAAUGUCAUUUUGAAGGUUAAACUUUUUUCUGUUUGUACCUCUUUUGCAUAUUUUGGAUUUCUUGGAUUUCUUGGUUCUAAAAUGAAGAUAGUUUCGUUUUUGGAUGUUUCUUGAAUGACACUUUGGUAAACUUUGAUAGUUUUGGUAUUGUAAUGCUUGGUUGUAUCAUUAUUUGAUGUUCUUUAGUAAAAUAAUUUGAUGAUUGUAGUAUUUUUUUUUUCUUUUAGAAUCAUAAUAAAAAAAUGAUAUUAUAAGUUCGUGGUGAGAAAAUAAAAAGUAUUUUAAUGCAUGAAUUUUGCGAGGGAUUAGCUACGGAAAAAAAAUCAUGUCUAAAGUGUGCGACGGAUCAGCGACGGAAAGGAAAAAAAUUUAAUGUAUGAAUUUUGCAAGGGAUUAGCUACGGAAAAAAAACUGUUCAUGGAAAUUCGCGACAGAAUAGCGACGGAAUGCAUUGAGUGACAUUUAGCGACAUUUAGCGACGGAUAUUCUGUCGCUACCUUUGUCGCAAGGAAAAACCCGAUCCGUCGCUAAAACCCUCGCUGAGAAAUUAGACAUUUUUUUAUUACCUAUGGAGUGAAUCUGUCGCCGAUCCAUUGCAAACAACAUUUAGCGACGGAAUCGCGACGGAUUUUUCCGUCGCUAAAACCCAUGUUUCUAGUAGUGAAAGUAUGUUAAUAGUUCUUGUUUAAUGCUUUAAAAAUGGUUUAAAUUUUCUUACAAGUGCAAAAUUGUAUAGGGGCAGUUUGGUCAUAAAUGCAGCAGAACCAACAUACAGGGAUAGUUUGGUCAUAAUUAUAGCAAAAACCAACAAACAGGGGCAGUUUCCUUAUAAAUGCAGCAAAACCCACAAUUCAACAACAGGGACAAAAGGGCAUAUUUGUCAUUUUGGUUUUAACUGCACCAACUACUAUUUUUUUUUCAUUUACAACUAGUUGCUGCUAUCAUUUUUUCAUUCAUAAUUGAUUCAGCCUUUUAGUCACAUUUUUUUAAACAUAAACCAACAAAUAGUCGCUGCAAAACCCACAAUCUCUGUGUCACACUUUUGGUCACAUUUUUUUAUCACAGUUUGGUCAUUAUUUUGAUGUCCUAAAAUUAUGAUAAACCUUAACUAAAAAGUAAAAAGAAAACAACAAAUUUGGUCCACCCCUUAUAUUCUUGUUUUUAUAACCUGAUAUAAUUACGAUGCCAUAAAGUAGAUACAAAAUAUUCAUAUAUAUAUAUANNNNNNNNNNNNNNNNNNNNNNNNNNNNNNNNNNNNNNNNNNNNNNNNNNNNNNNNNNNNNNNNNNNNNNNNNNNNNNNNNNNNNNNNNNNNNNNNNNNNNNNNNNNNNNNNNNNNNNNNNNNNNNNNNNNNNNNNNNNNNNUAUAUUAAACAUAAACACUAAUUUAAAAUACAUAUCCUAAAUUAAAGUGGCAUGAUUUUUCAAGACUUCCCCCACUUGUUCCUCAACUCCAACCUCUUCAUCAACCAUAUAUUCCUCAGCUACUUCUUCAGCAUUGAAGUAAACAAUUAUACUAAGUGCACCAUCUUUUGAGAACAACAUUCUUGAUGUGAAAGCCAAAGCCAAGUUGUUGAAGGUUUAAGCACUACAAAAGCCAAAGUCAAAGAUUAGCAAGUCACAUAAUCACAUAUAAGAACAAAGACAAUAUAUAAACUAUAAAUGCAACAUUUUAUAACUUAAAAUAUGCAAAAUUUUAUAACUUAACAUAUCCAAAAUUUUAUAAUUUAACAUCUACAAAAUGAUAAAUAUAUAUAUANNNNNNNNNNNNNNNNNNNNNNNNNNNNNNNNNNNNNNNNNNNNNNNNNNNNNNNNNNNNNNNNNNNNNNNNNNNNNNNNNNNNNNNNNNNNNNNNNNNNNNNNNNNNNNNNNNNNNNNNNNNNNNNNNNNNNNNNNNNNNNNNNNNNNNNNNNNNNNNNNNNNNNNNNNNNNNNNNNNNNNNNNNNNNNNNNNNNNNNNNNNNNNNNNNNNNNNNNNNNNNNNNNNNNNNNNNNNNNNNNNNNNNNNNNNNNNNNNNNNNNNNNNNNNNNNNNNNNNNNNNNNNNNNNNNNNNNNNNNNNNNNNNNNNNNNNNNNNNNNNNNNNNNNNNNNNNNNNNNNNNNNNNNNNNNNNNNNNNNNNNUAUAUAUAUAUAUAUAUAUAUAUAUACACACACACACACACACACAAAAUAACAUAUCCAACACAAGUUUUAGUUUGAUUAAGUUGAAGUCAUUGCAAUAAAAAGCAAGGCACACCGUGUGGCUCUUUACAGUACUGUACUUUCAAAACCUUUAUACCAUCUAUUAAGAAUCAUACUAUUUUUACUCAUUUUACAGCAAUGCACUUUCAAAAUGUUUAUCCCCACUCUUAAGAAUCAUAAUAUUUAUACUAAUUUUAAAACAAUGUACUUUCAAGAUAUCACAAGUCAUAUGUAUACAGGGCAAAUUUGUAGAAAUCGAAAUAAUAAUAUAACUUAAUAUCUUAACAACACCAAUGUGUAGAAAUCGAUUUCAGCAAGAGACAUCACAUAAUCUUGACUUCGUAUGAAAACAUAUAAUUUGUAAUGUGUAAAAAUCAGGAAAAUAUGUACAUAAUCCUUCACAAUGUGUAGAAAUUGAUUUUAAGAACAGACAACUACUUACAUGAAGAAGAAAAUAACCGACCGUAGAAUGGAAUCGAUUUCACAAAAUUUUGAGGAUGGUUGAUUCGAAUGAUUUCACAAAAUGAUGUGCAAGGCGCUAAUUUCACCUCGGUCCCUUAAUCCACGUAAAGUUCCAUGUCAUUUUUAUUUUCUUUUAAUUAUUUUUAGUAGGUAAAAUCUGAGGGGUUAACCUACACAUGCCGGUUACCACAAGGUGAGAUUUGAACAAAAGGUAUAUUUUGUUGGUGUUUUUUAUACAAAGCUCUUAGUUUGAUGGUGUUUUUUAAACAGACAAAACUUGGAUGGUGUUUUUUGAUCUUUUUUUUAAAAGUUCUUACCCUUAUAAGUCAUUUUCCCUUUGAGAAAAUAGUUACAAAGGCCUCAUAUUUAUUCAACAAAACAACAAAAAACUACUCAAUAGUCGUGAACUAUUUUUUUAACAAAACUACAAAAUUGGUCCUGUGGUUUUCCAAAAACUGUGUACAAAGUCUAAAAAUUUGGGAUAUAUACAUUAAAAUCCCAAUAUUUUCAAAGAUUUGACAAGAAAGUCUUAACCUUUAUUUUUUUUUUAUAGUAAAGUCCUAACUAUCGGCAGUUUUUGACACACUUACCCUUUUUUGCUGGUUAGCCGGUAAUUAGGGCUUUUACUGUAAAAAAUAAACUUUAGGACUCUUGUCAAAUCGUGAACUAGGACUUUACUAUUAAAAAAAAGUUUAAGACUUUCUUUUUAUUUGGACUUUAGCGUAUUGUCUUGGUUUUCUUAGAAACAAAUAAUUUUAUUAGCCUCGUGAGACCCAAUUUCUAUCCCAAGAACUUUUAAUUGUGGUUUUUGUCGCAUCACCACUGUUUUUCUUACCAUCAUCAUCUUUACCAUGCUACAAUCACGAAUCACGAUUAGGGGAAACAGAUGCAAAAGAGAGAGAGAGAGAGAGAGAGAGAGAGAGAGAGAGAGAGAGAAGUCUUGUAAAGAAUUCUUCUUGGUACGCUGCCAAAUCUUGAACUGAAAAGAGGGGACAGAUUGAACAAACACAAACAACAUACGCCUAGCGAGGUGUGAAUGUGGAGAAAAGGUAAUAAAUACAGUUUCGUCUUUUCCAGUUUCUUAGUUUUCCAUUUUUAGGAUUGCAAAAAGCUAACACAACCCUGAUUCUUUCUUUCUUUCCUGAUUAUCUUCAUUUUUUUUCAAUAUCGGUUUGUUGAGAUUACAAAAAACUAUUUAACAAGAAGCAGAUGUUAAAGAUUUCAAUAGGAUCUAGCUGACCAAAGUAGAUUGGUUUGAUUCCAAUAACUCUUUUGCUUAAAGACUAUCAUACUAUUAAAUUUAUAACAAAAAAAGAGAUAUAUACACUAAAGUCCCAAUAUUUUCACGAUUUCACAAGAAAGUCCUAAACUUUAUUUUAUUGAAAGCAAAGCCUUAAUUACCGGCUAACCGACAAAAAAUGAUAAACAUGUCUAAAAUUGUCGGUACUUAGGACUUUACUGUAAAAAAAAUAAAAUUUAGGACUUUAUUGUUAAAUCGUUGAGAAUAUUAGGACUUUGGUGUAUAUAUCCCAAAAAAAAAUCAAAAUUGAAUGAAAGGUCCAAACCAAGAAUUUUUUGUGGUUUUGAUCCUCAAACACUUCAAAAUGUCAAAUUUGCCUUUUUCAUUUCUUUUUUUACUUUUUCUUUAUUUAUUUUAGUAUAUAAAUCGUUGAAAAUAUUAUGACUUUGGUAUAUAUACCCCACCCCACUCCUUUCCAACGAUUACUCUCUCUCUCUACCCCCCCCUCUCUCUCUCUCUCUCUCCCUCUCUCUUCAAGAAACCUACAAAUGCAAACUAUCCUAAUAGAUUUGACUAACUACUGUGUUGGUCAAAAAUCAACCAAAUUGUAUGAGAGGUUGUGGUGUUGUGAUCAAAAUGAAUAUGCUAAUGAAGUAUAAAUGACACAAUCGAGUUUACAAGGAAUGCCCUUGAUCCUUGCUAGGAUCUCCGACAUAAAACCUUCAGAGGUGAUAAUGAUCACCUGCCUUGUUAUGUUUAUUAAUUUCAAAGUAGGUUUACAGUGAUAAUGAAGAUAAUACGAGUACAAGUGAAAUAGUAGAGUUUUUCAUGUGUGUAUUUUGCAAUUUACAGGUGUUAUUUAUAGUCUAAUAUAAGUAACAAGAAGUCUGAUCUUUCCAGGAUCCUCCUUGAAUAAGUAUUUGCAUGUUGAUUGACUUGGUAUUCCUGGGUCUUAAGCUUGGUUGAAGUCGUUAUCUGUUGAGAAUGGGUCUUAUGUUGACUAAUUCUGCACAAGUGAGAAAAAAAAGAAGAAUAUUGUAGCAUCCACAAAAAACUCAUGAUAAAUUUAAACUUUUUAAAACCAACCAAAAUCACAAAUUAUUUACAAUCAUAGUUUUCAAAAUAUGUUCGACAUCAGAGUCUCCCAAAAUCAUAAGUAAAAAACAUGAGGAUGUGUACGUUUAUGUUUUCUCCUUCCCGCGAUCAUCCGAAGUACCUGAAACAUAACCUAAAACUAUAAGCCAACGCUUAGUAAGAUCCCCUAAAGUACCACCACAUACACAUAAUAACAAACAACAUCAUGCAUAAAUGAGUCUUCAGCCUGACUGGACCGCCUUACAGGGCCUUCAUCCUAUCUGUACCGCUCCUGAGCCUUCGGCAUGACUGGAUCGCCUCACAGGGCCUAUAGCCUAUCCGGACCGCUCGUUGGGCCUUCAGCCUGACUGGACCGCCUUGCAGGAGCUACAGUCUAUCCGGACCGCCCCAGGUAUCUUGGCCUUCAGCACAAAGCCAAACCGCCUCAACUCAACCACACAUAACAUGUUGACAUAUACAUAACAGAUAAACAUAUAACCAGUCAACAGAAAAACUGAUGGGUUUUGAGCAUUAAAUCAAUCAUAUAGUGCACAUGCAAACCCUAAAGCUUUGGAUCUAGGUUUCUCUAAUUGUACAUGCGAAUCAUCCAAAGCUACAAACCCUAGAUCUAGCAUACAAAAUCCGAAAAUAACAAAUAAAACAAAUUUAGAUGAUUACCUUGAGUGUUGAUUAAAGAUCUUGAGUUUUUGAGAAUCUUAGCACCUCAAAUGUUGUGCCUCUAAUAGAUCACAAACACCAAAGCAAUUGGAAGAAUGUAAGAGAGAGAGGAGGUAUGUGAUUUUUCGCUUUAGAAAUCCUUCUAGGGUUAGGGCAGCCGAAAAUGUGAUGCCUAGGGUCCCUAUAUAUAGGUAAGCUGCUAGGGUUUCAGUCAAAACCCCAAUUGGAUUGCUUAGGCCUUAAUCAGUCCAAAGGAACCUUCCAGAACAAGGCCCUUGGAUGAAUUCAAGGUGGGCUUCCCUCCUUAUUUCGUCCACCUCUUCCUUAUGGAUCCUCAACCCAAAAUCCAAUUAUCUUAUAAUUUCAAUUCCAGUCCCCUAGGUUCAAUUAAUAUCUUUUGACCACAAAAUUAAUUUCCAAAUUAAUUAUUGACCAAUAUUAAUUAAUCAAAUAUGAUUUCUCUUUUAAUAUAUUAUUCAUAUAAUUUAUUAAUUAACCAUAAUAACCUCUUUCUCUAUUAUUCAUCCAGUCAAGUUGCUUUGGUGAAGGCAACCCAAAAGGACCAUGCUACAACCGGGUCAAGUACAUACCAAAUAUAGUUAUGGACUGAGACACUAAUCCAACACAAACAUGCAGAUCUAUAGAUCACUACCGCAUACUAACAUCCUAUAUACCAGGAUAUAGAUGUAACAGAUCACUACAACAUAGCAACAUAUGGUAAACCAUGAUAUCAAUCCAAAGGGCCGACCUUGGUACAUUCGACCCAUAAGUAUAGUGAGGACAACUCACCUUGCAAACUGAAUAGAAGUUGAUGAGGUCUCAACAAUGGAUCUCAGCUCCAACUGCCUCCUAUUCCAACACAACAACCAAUCUCAAUUAGAAUUCCCAAAAUACCCAAAAUACCCUUAAGGUCAAACUUGUUCAAAAUCAAAGUCAACCGGUCAAACCAACUAAGUCAACUGAGUCAACCCAGCCGAGCCAACCCAACCAAGUCAGCGUAGGAUGCGUAUGCAGGACGUACUUCGGAGGUAUGUUGGACGUACACGAAGCCCCGCAGGUUGACCAUUAUCGGAGUGGUUGACCUUGUACGUAGGGCGUACUCCGAGUAUACGGUGCGUAUUGUCGCAGGUCCAAAAAUUCCAUUAAGAGCUUAAUGGCCUAAGCACUUACGUAUAUUAUUCAGAUCCAAGGCUAAAAUACACUCUAGUGUCAUAAAGUUUCCAAGUUUAUGACUUUACACCCCUAUUAAGUGCUUAUCUCAAAUUCUUAAUCCAUUAAGACAUUCUACAAGAUGCAUGGAACAAAACCAACCAUUUAAAACCCAUUAAUAUGACUCAAGACCCUUGAAGGGUCUGAAAGGACACCUUAAUGGGUCAAGAACAUGCUUUGUUCAUGAAACACCACAUUUGGGACAAAAAGAACCCAAAACUAACCCAAAACAAGAUCUACAAGAAACUACACCAAGUUUGGAACUUGAUACCUAAAAAUGGUGCCAAAAGGUGGUGUGAUCCUGGAUUUAGAAAGCUUCACUCCUUCAAGGUGAUCUUUUCUUCCUUCCUUCUUCUUCAAAAGAAACAAAACACACACGCAAGUUUAGAAGUGGCUCCUCAAGAGGAGAUUAGGGUUACAAACACGAAUGAGAGAGUGGAGGUAGAUAAGGUGAAGGAAAUGAGGCCAUAAGAGUGCUUAAAUACCAAACAAACCCUAAAAACUAGGGUUUCCUCAUCUGGCAAGUACGCCCAACAUAUAUUGAUGUACGCCCAAUGUACUAGGGUGUGCCCUUGUACGCUCAGUUUACACCACGUACGCAUGGCGUACUCCAAAGGCCUAAACUUACAACAAUGCCAUUAAGGCCCUUUUUGCAUACAUAUCUUGAACUUGGGACCAAAAUGCAACAUAAUAGAAUCAAAGGGUUAAAUUUAGAAGUACCUCACAUCGGGAUGUUUCAAUUCUCCCCCACUUGGUCUAGACUUCGCCCUCGAAGUCUGCCGUGACGAAUAACUCAGGAUAAUGCUCUCGCAUCUUUGCCUCCGACUUCCAAGUCCACUUGGAGCCUCUUCGAUGCUGUUACUAUACCUUUAUGAAAGGUAUCUCUUUGUUGCGCAAGACCUUCAUCUUUCUCUCCAAAAUAGCUACUGGCCUUUUAGCAUAGUUUAAUCCCUAAUCGACCUGAAUAUCGUCCAAGGAGGCCACUACCUCUACAUCCAAUACACACUUUCGCAACUGCAAAACAUGGAAAGUGUUGUGAAUCUGACUGAGCUCCUCAGGUAGAUCCAACCUGUAAGCCAACUUGCCAACACUAGCAAUCACUCAAAAAGGCCCAAUAUAUCAAGGGCCCAACUUCCCCCUCUUCCUAAAGUGUAUCAUACCAGGCUAGCCCUGGAAAUCACGAAAAGGACUAGAUCCAGAUCAUGCGUGGGAUAUCGCGACUCAUGUAGCUUCAGCUGCUGUGAAGCAUAAACAAUCACUCGUCCUCUUUGCAUGAGGACCGUUCCUAAAUCGGUGAUGGAUGCAUCACCAAAUACCACAAAAUCCUCGACUCCCUCCAGGAGGGUCAAUACCGGGGCCUAACAUAACCUCUGUCGAAGAGUCUCAAAUGCUGACUGCUGCUCGGGGCCCCAUCGGAAAUUCACCCCCUUCCUCGUCAAACGAGUGAGGGUACCAGAAUCUUGGAAAAGUCAUGAAUGAAUCUCCGAUAGUACCCUGCCAAACCCAAGAAAAUCCUAAUCUCCGAGGGAGAUUUCGAGACCUCCCACUGCAUCACAGCCUCGAUCUUGGCCGGAUCGACCAAAAUCUCACCCUCGUUAACGAGGUGUCCCAGAAACUGGCAUAAAGCCGUUCCCACCUCAAAAGCCCCAGAAGCUCCUGAAGGUGCUCCUCAUGCUGCUCUCUAGUCUUGGAAUACACCAAGAUACCAUCAAUGAACACAAUAAAAGAUCGUUGAACAUCGGCCUGCAUACCCGAUUCAUCAGAUCCAUAAAUACAUAAGCCACAUUGGUGAGCCCAAAUGGCAUCAACACAAACUCGUAAUGCCCAUAACGAGUCUGGAAUGUGGUCUUGUCCACGUAUUCCUCUUUCACUCUCACCUGAUGAUACCCAGACCUCAUAUAUAUCUUGGAGAACCAAGAUGCACCCUACAACUGAUCAAAUAGGUCAUAAAUCUGUGGAAGGGGAUAACAGUUCUUCACCGUUAACUUGUUCAACUCCCGGUAAUCAAUACACAUCUGAUGUGAACAAUCCAUGUUAAUAGGAACAACGGGAGAUGAUACCAACUUGAAACACAUUGGUUUUGGAACUCCCAGAACCAAGUCCCAAACCAAAGAGCUUCUAGUAAAAAGCUUGUCUUGCAACAUUGGCAGGAAAAUUAGUAACACCGAUAGAACAAUGAAUGUAUUGAAGGUGAGAUACCUCUCCCAAAUCCUUAAGAGAAACAACCAAGGCAGUAAGUCCAGUCACGAUGUCACAUGUAUCAGUUAGGAUGGGGUCGGAGUGAAUGGGACACUCAUGUAAGCUGAUAACAUCUCUUACUUUUGAACUAAUUAUAGGAGGUUGGGAGUUUCGUGCAUGAUAUCAUCCAUAAUCUUUUCCCUUUAAAGAACGUUGAGUCCGCCGACGCUUGAGAGGGGAGAUGUUUGUGGAUUCAUCCAUACAUUCAAUUAUCUCCUCCAACGACCGAGUCUUCUCAGCCUUGGCGUCCCUGCUAUUGCUCCUAGAAGCUGCUUCUUUCCUCUUGUGGGGCAUGUGCAUUUUUGUAGUUUAUCCCGAGGAAAAUGUAGGCGGUUUUCUACCCAAUCGUUCAAUAUUUGAUUAGUUUCUUCUUAACUUUCGAGGAAACAUGAAUAGGGAAACCUUUGGCCUCAGUGUUAAGAGGGCAAUCAAUGCUAGAGUUAAGUUUGGGGUGAACGUCUCCCUCAGUGUUAAGAGGGGAGUGAAGUUCUUCCAUUGCUUGAUAAAAGAAGGAAAUCCAUCACAAAUAUCAAUUCUGUCCUUACGAAGAGAGAAUAAUAUCCGGUCAUUACUGAUCAUGGUUAAGUGAAAAUGACAAAUCAGAGCAAGGCUAGGAAUAAUGUUCAAAGCUUUGCAAAGCAUCACGAAGAAGAUGAUAUUUUGAAAACCGUUAGGGGUAAGUUGGGCAAUAUGUUGAUUAUAGUGAUCAAGGACCACCUUCAGGAAAUUGAAGGCGAGUAUGUGGAGAUCGGCCCGAAAGAAUUGAUGAUGUACUCCCACGUACCUUAAGGGAGGGUUAGUAAUCUUCUGCGACGAAGAAGGGAGUUGUGGCUUAAAGCGAUGACCGAUCUUAUAAAGUUUGACGAUGCCAUUUAAUUGUUUCGCUGGAAGAUAACAUUGAUUGAACACCUUGGUUAUCCUUGACCAUGGUAGAAUUUUCAGAGUAAUCAGAAGGAAGAAGAAAAGAAAAAAGAGAAAAAGAAGCGAAGGGGAAAACCGUAGAGUGAGCAGUUUAAAUUCGUGGGUUACCUUUAAAUAGAGAGAAUUUGGUGAAUAUAUUUGAAGCCAUAGUUGCAACGUGAUAGCGUAAUGAUGAAACUUAGGCUUUUUGCUAGGAUGACAGGUAAUGGAUCAAAACUUUUGUUAGAAUUCUUGAAGAUUUGCUUAAUUUGUUAUAUGGUUUUGUUAGAAAUCUAGGAAAGGGGGAAUGCUCGAAAUCGAUGUAGAUUUGGACCACCACUGGAACAUCCACCUGCAAAACACCCAAUGAGUUGCACAGUCCUGGCGAUUAUCCGCUCUAUUUUAUCCGACAACUGUGGUCUAUUUUCAACGCCCAGUUCCUUCCUCGCUUAUGGAACUCCCACAUAACCUGCAUUCAAUUCCAGGUUUGUAAAUCUGAUUUUGUUUCAGUCGAAUUUGGUGUUUGAUUCAGUCGAAGUUGUACCUGAUCAGAAGUAUUGUGAAAGUUAUGAAAAAGUUCACUUUCAGAAAUAAAUGACAAACAAAACCGAUAAAGUGAUAUUCAUCUUUAUCGACGUUGCUUCGUUAUGCUUAUUCAUUGUAUUCCCCCUCUACGUACUUUUCGGUGACUAAUACUAUGACAGUACACACUUAAUGUCCCGACAAGCUCACGAUCAGAUCAAUUUACAGUCUUAAUUAUUGGUUACUCGGAAUCGAAUUCGGAUCGUGUAGAAGGUCACUAGAACUCCCACAUAACCAACCCAUGGAAUUGUCACAUAACCUGCAUUCAAUUCCAGGUUAUAAUCUGGUUGUUUUGGAGUCAAUUUUGCGUCUGAUUCAUUUUUUUAGGGGGAGAACGAACAUAAUAAUAAGAUGUUAUCAAGGAAGCGUCGGGAAUAGAGGCACUCACCAUCAUCACCAUUCACCACAACUAUUGUCAACUUUUGGGUUAAUUCUGUUGCCGGCAAAGAUGUAAAAAAAUAAAAAAGACGAACACAGGUUCUCAGGGUUACAUGGUUUUGUGGCUCUUUGAUUUUAUUUAGGUGAAAGAGAUAAGAUUUUUUUUUUUUUAUUUUUUUAUUUUUUUAUUUUUUUUUAAUAGGAAAAAUCCACCUGGACAGUAUGUGAGCGCCACAUAAAUAAUUUCAUUUGACCGGAUGUUAUGUGGACGCUAGCUCAUCUAGGCAACCGGAUGACCACUUCAUUUUUCAUAUAUUCCCCUAUUUAAUCCAUAAUUUGAAAGUUUAUGCCCCUAAGAUGUAAAAAAAUAACAUGAAGGACCUUUUAAACAAAAACGUGAUAGUUGGUUGGGCUACAUUGACAAUAACCCUUUAAAAUAACUAUCAAAUAUUGAACAAUAAGAUUUUGGGCAAAUUUGUUAUUUUUGAAAGUUUAUGAAGUAUGAAUAAAAAGGCAUAUACAAUAUUCUAAAAAACGCAAAAANUUUAAAAAAAAAAAAAAAAAAAAAAAAAAAAAAAAAAAAACAUAUGUUUGAUAUUGGGCUUUAUAUCCCCUAUCAAAUUAGGCCCUGCAAUUGUGUUUUUGAGCAAAUAAUGGGUUUGUACGCAUGUAAACGUAGAGAACUGACCACACUCAACGUACAGCGUCUCGUCGUGGUUCGAGAAUCGGAAACUACACAAAACAAACGAUGGAUUCCGACUGCAGAGAGGCCGGUGAAGGUAAGAUUAAUUCAAGCCGACUAUUCAUAAUAGAAAACCCCUCUCUCUAGUACCCGAUACCUUCUUUCUCAAUUUUUAUUUAUUUGUUUUUUAAAUUAGAGGCCUCUUUCCGCUAAUCAUGAAGAAUAAUCUGUGUACAUUGUUAAUUGAUCUUAAUUGAUGCUAUGCGAGACUCUUAAGAGCUCGUUUGUUUUUUUGGCAAAAAGACUUUUUGGGCACUUAUGUCUGCGGAUGAUAGAUGUUUACCAAAAAGACCACUUAUUUUCUGGACCACAAAAAAACCCAAGAUCCUUUUGUAAUAAGACUUUUUGUAUGAAUACAUAGAAAAUACUUUUGGUCCCACUGAAAAAAGACUAAAGACAUUUUAUCACUUCCAAAACAAACACUACCUUAGUUUGAUUUUUCUCUUUAUUUUUUUUAUUAUCGCUAGUGUAAUUCUUAUAGAUCUCACCAGUCUCCUAUAAUAUCCAGUUAGCUAUAAAUUCAUGGAUCUAAACUAGUUGUUGUUUUCUCUUGAUGGUUCUCUUAGAUUUUAAGAUCAAUCUGUCUAGAGCAUUUCUUACAGUAUAAAAAAAAUGAAAGACGUCUCACUCGCCCUUUACUCCUUUAGGGCCACCAUUGACAAUUAGAAGUCUUGUCCCUCUUUUACAUUAUUGAGUCAAGAGUGCAUUGUUUUUUACAUAAUACAUUCUUGAGUUGCCAUGUGAUUUCUAUAUUCUCAAAUGAUAAUAUUAUAAUUAAAUAUUUUUUGUGGCUGUAAUUUUAAUUUUUAAGAACUAUCUAAAUGUGAAACUAAAAAACAUCUGUUUACGUUAAAGUGCAUGAACUAUAAUAUACAAAAGAGGUUUCAAAAAAUAAAUUUAUUAGGUUUAGAUGAAAUAUUUUCUCCUCAAGUUUGUAUCUUCCACGAUGGUUACUUUCAUGAGUUUGAUUUCGUUAUAAUGAAAAUGACUUAAACAGGGAUGAAAGAUUGGUGAUGGUUGCAAAUUCUUUUCUUACAAAUAUAUCACAUAAUUUGAUGACCAAAAUAUAUCACAAGAUUGGAAAAGGUAUUUAUAUUAAAUACAAAUUGCCAAGACUUGUAAGUCUUUGAAAUAUCUACUUUGGGCCAAUUUAAAUUUCAUGGAAGUUAAGUAUUUGAUGCCCCGCACUGAUAGGUCAUAAAUUUGAGACCAUCCACUUUAAUAAUUCAUCUUCAAAGUAGUUGGCACUAUAUAAAUCUUCAUAGGGGCAUCUUCAUAUAUACAUAAACACAAACAAAAUUCACCAACAUCUGCAUUUUCAUCAUGCAUCCUUGUGUUUUUAUAAUUUUCUCACUUGUCUUGCUAUGCCUUCAGAAUACAACUGCCAAUCAAUUGGUAGCAGUGGAAGGAGGAGGAGGAGAUGAUAAUGGUGUUAUCAGAAACAAGUGUUUGGAUAAGGAGAGAGAUGCUCUCCUUCAAUUCAAAGCAAACCUUCAUGACCCUGAUGGUCGUCUCUCUACAUGGGGAACCGAAGAAGAUGACUGCUGUAACUGGAUUGGAGUCAGGUGCCACAGCCAAACAGGUCAUCAUGUCACGGAGCUUGAUAUCAGCCACUAUAAUAUUGGAGGUGAGAUUAGCUAUUCAUUGGUUAACUUAACCUACUUGAAUCUUCUUGAUCUUUCCUCCAACUCUUUUCAUGGAACCAUUCCCACCUUCAUUGGUUGUUUGACCGAAUUAAGGUACCUUGACCUUUCUGAUAACUCUCUUUAUGGAAUCAUUCCUUCAGAGUUUGGAAACCUCACCAAGUUGCACAUGCUUUAUCUUCGAGAUCUUGGAAGUUGUAGAGUUGAAAAUGUAGAGUGGCUAGUUCAUCUCUCUCAUCUACAACAACUUGAAAUGGAUGGGAUAUCCCUAGCCAAAGAAAAUCAUUGGGUAGAUGUUAUUCUGAGUCUCCAAAAACUAACACAUUUAAGUUUAUUGGGAUGUGAGCUCUCACACGUCAUGUAUCCAUAUUCUUCAUUUCUCAACUCUUCUUCAUCUAUAUCUUUCCUUUAUCUUGGAAACAACAAUCUUACAUCAUCAAUGUUUCGUUGGUUGUCCCCAUUGACCAGCGAUAAGCUUCGUCAUCUUGAUCUCUCUAGCAACAUGUUAGAUGGGAUACCCAAAUAUCUUGGUAACCUCUGUAGGUUGGAACAUUUUGAAUUUCAUAACAAUUCUGCUGUUGUCAGUUUUCCUGAUUUUCUCAACAACUUGUCUGGAUGCACAUUGCGUACAUUAGCAGAGUUGGAAGCUUCUCAUAGCCAUUUUACAGGGCCACUCUCAGAUAUGAUUGAAAAAUUUUCUUCCCUAGAAAGAUUGUCCCUAUCCAGUAAUCAAUUAAAUGGCGCUAUAAAUGAGAAAUUGUUUGAACUUCCCAACCUUCUUGAUAUAGAUCUUUCACAAAACUCAUUCGAAGGAGGUCCUUUUCUAGAUCACAUGUCAAAGCUUUCUUAUGUAGAGUAUCUUAAUGUGAGCUCUGCCAAGCUAGGGCCUUGCUUCCCCAAAUGGAUUCAAACACUCAAACAUCUUACCCGUCUGGAUAUUGCCAACACUAGAAUUUCAGACACAAUUCCUCUGGGGUUUUGGGACAUGUGGCCUUCUCAAUUACAAUAUUUGAAUCUCUCUUCGAACAAUAUCAGCGGGAAAAUACCAGAUUUAUCGUCAAAUUUUGACUACAAUGCAGUGAUAGAUUUGAGAUCUAACAACUUUUCCGGUCUGAUACCAAAUGUUUCUUCCACUGUGCAAUCGCUAAAUCUUUCCAAAAACAAAUUCUAUGGAGGAAUCUAUUUUUUAUGCCAAAUUGCAGAUGGCUAUUUAAGAUUUCUUGACCUCUCCGAUAACUUUCUAACCGGACAUCUUCCAGACUGCUUGUGGCAUUUCAAAGAACUAAAAAUUCUUAAUCUAGGAAACAACAAUCUAUCUGGAAGGCUUCCUCCAGCUGUUGGAUGUUUGAUCGAACUCGAGGCAUUGUAUUUAUACAAGAACAACUUUUCUGGAGAAUUGCCUCUGUCUUUAAGGAGUUGCACGAGUUUAACCUCGUUGAAUUUGGGGGCUAAUAAGUUUUCUGGUAAUGUGCCUGUUUGGAUUGGGGAAAACUUAACAAGGUUGUAUGUUCUUAUCCUAAGCUCAAACAACUUCUUUGGAACCAUCCCUUUACAAUUAUGUCAACUACCGAAUCUUCAUAUUCUAGACUUGUCAAGGAACCAUCUCCAUGGAACCAUCCCCUCGUGUUUGAAUAAUCUUACGAGCAUGGUUCAAGGAGGAUUCUCAGCUACACAAAUCGGACAUUUUUUCUAUUCAAUUUCACAUUUUUGGCAUGGUUCAACAAGUUAUUUUGACCAUGCAGUGAUUGAGUGGCAAGGAGCUGAACGUGAAUUCAUCAGAUUUAAUCUGGGAUUGUUGAAGACCAUUGACCUGUCAAGCAACAACUUGACAGGAACAAUCCCUCUUGAACUGACCAGUCUUGUUGAACUGGUUGCACUGAACUUAUCAAAGAAUACUCUACUUGGAGAGAUUCCUUGGAAAAUUGGUCAGAUGGGAAACCUUUCAGUUUUGGAUUUAUCUAGAAACAAUUUGUCAGGAGGGAUGCCAUCAAGCAUGUCUCAAAUGAAUUUUUUGGGUUACCUGGAUGUGUCAUAUAAUAACUUGUCAGGGAGAAUCCCAUCUAGUACACAACUCCAGUCCUUUGAACCAUCAAGAUACGAUGGAAAUCCAGGACUAUGUGGACCUCCCAUUUACAAGACAUGUCAUGGAGAUGAAGAACUUGAAGAACCACCUGUUGUUGUUGGUAGAAAUGAGGGAGAUGAGGAAGGUGUUGGUGAAGUUUGGGGAUGGUUCUAUAUUGGUGUAGGGACUGGUUUUGCUACUGGAUUUUGGAUAGCAUGUGGUGUCUUACUUCUCAACCAUCGAGGGAGACAUGCUUUUUCUCUGUUCUUUGAUGGCUUCAAAGAUUGGGUUUAUGUGAAGGUGGUUGUAUUUGUUGCAAAUUUGCAGAAGGUUAGACAGACAUAGUUUCUCAUCUUGUUUUCUAGUAUGUAAAUAUGUUGUUUUGAACACACCUAUUACUGUUCUUAUUUAGGGCUAGAGACAUAGGAAUGUAAUUUGGCAUGGGCAUUUAAGUCCCCAAUAUUAAUAAGAUUGCCACAAACACUAUGGGUGGCCAUUUUAUCGUGCUGUGUAAAAUAACAUCCUGAAAAGUUCAUAUCUUUGAACCAUAUAAACACAAGAUCUUGUAUAUUUUUUUUUAAAAGAUUAUUUCUAGGAUAAUUUUCAGUGUAGAGUAUUUGAAGAAUUAGUGUUUAAAAGACAUUACAUCCAUAUAUACAUGUUACUAUGAUGCUUAUGUUCGUAGGUUGUUUUUUAAAUUGGCAAAAAAUGAAAAAUAGCAAGAUGGAAAAACUGGUUUGACAAGAAGAAGGCUGAGCUGAGGGAGUUGGAGGCAGAAUUGACCAAUGUUCAGUGCAGCAACCAACUCAAGGGGACAGUUAAGUAAAGAGCAAUACAAAAUGAUGGAAACUCAAGAACACAUUUAUUGGUUGCAAGGUUGCUAAGUAGAUUAUUUGCAGAAUUUCCAAUUCAUGCAAUCUGUUUCCCCUGUUCUUGGGAUUCUGAUGUCUGUUUUUAAUAAAAACGAAGUCACUUUAAUCUAUGUUAUAAAAUUUAGUAUAUGUUACUGACAAAGCUAGGAAGGGUUGAAAAAUUUAUUUCCUACAUUUUAGCAUGGAAAGAGUUUUAAUUCUUUCAAGUUUAAGCACCUUCAUGAUUGGUACAGUUGUGCAAAAUUUCCAUCAUCCUAGACUCCAUUUUCGAUUUUCCCAAACUAAUAUACUAGGACAGCUUCUAUACCUUGAAACAAAUUCAGUGCUUGAGGUACCAAACUAAUAUACUAGGAAGGCUACUAUACCUUGAAACAAAUUCAAAAUAUAAUAGGAGUGUUCGGCAAAACUAGCUGGUAGCAGGUAGCUUGUAGCCAGUAGCGUUUUGUUAAAUGUUACCUGCAAUAGCAUUUGGAUUUGCAACAUUUUUUUUAACUAAAUGCUAGUAGCUUGUACUGCCAAAUGGGCUUUCUGUCCAAAAUGGAGCGUUUUGUCAAACAUGCCUAAUGUAUAUAUUUUUUCUGUAAAGUGUGUUUGCAAAUAAUGUGCUUUCAUACUAUAUCAAAAAACCCUUAAGGCGUGCAUUUAGCAUUUGAGUUCCUACAUCCUGGAUAGAAAGAUUUGCAUCAAAAGAAUUGUGAACAGAAGUUGUAUCAUGUAUCACCAAAAACAUAUUUAAAAACUCCACUAUGUUCAUGUGAAAUUUUUAGAGACUAAACAUAACAUAUAACAACAGAGAAAAAUGAGCCUUUCCCUUCUUACAUUUUUCAAACUUCAACCAUAAGUGAUAACAUAAUGAAUGUUACCCAUAUUAGACCAACACAUUUAGCAUAUUUCAUUGCUCGGUUCCAUGUGCAUAAAUCUUUACAUUAUCAAUAAAUGAGACCAUAAAUCAUCCUUAUGACCUACACCAUUGCAUCUUUUGCACUCAACCGAUUGAGUUUCAGCUUCCCAUCACUACAAAAAACACAUUUUUUUGCAUGUUGUUUGACAACCAAAAUACAAAAUGCGGAAGCUUAAAAUUUAGAUCUUUGAUCUCGAAUCAGCUAAAAGAAAAAUUUUAACAAGAAGGAACAUCAGAUACCUGCUUCCAUGGAAAUUUUCGGAUCUGAAAAGUGGAAUGACUUUUCCAGUUGAUCUCAAGAUCUCUCUCUAGAAUCCCUCAGCAAAACCUAAACAAAUUUACAUGUCUAUUCACGUAUUUUCAUCUGCUCCUCAUCACGUGUAUAUAUAUAGAUGGAGAUAUACCCUAAUGUGAGAGAUGGAAGGGAUAUUGAGGAUCUUGAGUCAAACCGAAAACUCAAUCCACAAAAGGUAAAUGGAUAUUCUAUAAAUCGUUCCAUCAACAAUUUAUAGUCUUACCUUAAUAACUGAAUUUAAUGAUAACAUUAUAUAUUUAUGAAGUGGCCCAUAGUUAUCGAACAAUCACUCACUGGACCACUGAUAUUUAAAUGUACAUAUGUAUAUAUAAGCGCUUUAAUAAAUGUUAUCAUAAUAUUGAUACCCUUGAACAAUCUCGUCCACUAAUCAUACAAGUAUUGGACCAAAGCGGUAUUUAUUACAAUUUACGUAAUUAAACCUAUCAAUGGUCACAUAUACAUAUAUAACUAACGACAUAGAUUAAACUUGAUGUGUGGUUUUAAAUCAAAAUAGAUUUCCGAUGAGUUCAUCGUUAUCUUGAAGCGAGAUCAAACUUCAAAUAAGUGCAAUUCAUAAUGGAAUUAACCAAAUUCUUCAUUAUGUAGAAAAAAACAUAAUUGUUCUUAAACAAAACAUAAAGAACCAUAAAACUCCCACUAAAACCAAAUAUCAUACCAACACAUGUAGUAUGCUCAUAAAAGACCUAGGGAGGUAAUCCAUUUAUGAGUAGAUGUGCUUUCAUGGAAUUUGUUCAUAUGUGCUAUAUAUAUNNUAUAUAUAUAUAUAUAUAUUCCAUUUUGCACUACUAUGUUAAUAGAAGGAACUAGAUGUUAAUAUGCUUCGACUUAAUAGAACUUAUGUUGUUGGAACAUAACAUUGCUGACUUAUCAUAUCAAUAAUAUGUAGCAUCGUGACAAAUUUCCGCAACCAUAUUCAAUGAUUUGAUGCCGCAUAACAUGCUAUAAUUUAUGUUGCCAUUAUGGAAGAAACUAGUCUAUUCCAUGAAACGACUCGUCAUGCUAACGUAUAAAAGUAUGCCUAUAUGGAUCGGUUACCAUUUUAGCAUCUAAUAAAAUCAGAUUCUUAAUAAAAAGGGAAAAUAACAUAAAUUCCCUACAAACUUCCUAGGGUUUACCCAUUCAGUUCCUAAAGUUUUUGUCUGGCUUUAUGGGUCCCUAACUAGGAUAUGACCUGCUCUUUUAGUCUUUAUCAACCUGUAAUAGCUGGUUCAGUGACAUUUUCGACAAAAAAAAACUCACAUUGUGCCCUUAUAAAGCCAAAAAAAUAAGUUCGGGGAUCAAUUCGUAACACAUAAUGAUUUAGUGACGACAUGUACACACGAUCUUCAUAAAUCUUCCCAUUGCUAAUUUGUUCUCUUAAUCCUUCGAGAAAAUAUAAAAAAGGUUUUCGAUUUAUUUUGUGUUACCAAAUUUUGAUAUGGAGGAUAUAAGGAAGAAAUAAAUGCUCUGAAAGAACCAAUAGCAAAUGACUUCGAGCUAAUUGAAGCGAAUCAACAAAUACUUGGGAGUGCAUUUAUUGCAGAAAUUUUAUCGUUAUCUUCAAACUUGUAAACAUUCAUAAAUAAAGUUAAACACAAGUGAAAGAGAUUUGAAUUAAAAAUUCAUAUGAUGUGUCAAUUAUUGAUUAUUUAGAAUUAAAAAUCGCAAUGAUAGUAAAAAACUCAAUCAAAUUAGGCUAUGACUUCAUCCUAAGUUUCUUAAUCAGUUGAUCUCUAUUACUGGAUUAUAAAUCAAAAUUUUAAUACCUUCGAUCUCCAAUUGUGCCAUUUCUCGAUUAUUUAGAAGAGCCAAAAUUAAUCAUGGUCUUUUUAUAUUAGAGGAGCGGUCGACACAACUUAAUGUUACACUACCGAUAGAUAUUGGAAAAUAGAAAUAGAUGGAAUAGAGCCAAAUGAACUUUUUUUAGUUAUAAAAUACGAAUUAAUCUCAACAUAUUUUUUUGGCUUUAUAGGGACACAAUGUGAGUUUUUUUGGUCUAAAAGUUCACUGAACUGGCUAUUACAGGUUGAUAGAGACUAAAAAGGCAGGUUAUAUCCUAGUUUAGGGACCCAUAAAGUGCGACAAAAACUUUAGGGACUAAAUGGGUAAACCCUAGAAAGUUUGUAGGGCAUUUAUGUCAUUUUUCCUAAUAAAAAUGUUCUCCAAAACAUCUGAUUUCUUAUAGUUAAGCAUAUAGUCUUUUCUUAUGUAUAGAUAUUUCAAAACACAUUUGGAUGCUUCUCAACGAUCUAGAUCAAUUACUGGGUUGCUUAGAUAUCUUCCCAACAUCCGUAUAAUGUAGGGAUAUAUACAUACGUGAGCAUACAUCGGAUUCCCAACAUAGUAAACACAAGGAAUCUUCUACAUCUCUCUAACUUCAAGGUGAAAUUUAGGUCACUAGUUAAGACUAAAUCUAUCUCUUUUAGCAAUAAGGGUGUCACUUGGUUUGUAGUUUGCAUGAAAAAUCUUUCAAGGAUCUUAUCAAUAUUAUACCUCUUAUGUCAUAAUCCUUGAAUUCCAUAAUAUCUGUCUCGUUAAAUAUGCAUUCCUAAUACAAAACAUGCUUCCUUAAGACCCUUCAUUAAAAAUACUUUAAUAUAUUGAUGGCAAGCAAUAUGUGUAACAUCCCGAGUUUAGGAGUGCAAGUUCAGGGUUCAAAGUAUAAAUGUGAAAGAGCAACUCAGCAAGUCCAUGGGUGGACUCGGCGAGUAGGGUCGCGGUUUUGGUCGCGUGUUAAGUGGCCAACUCGGCGAGUCGGCGGCUGGACUCGGCGAGUUGGUGUUGUGUGGAGAAAACCCUAAUUUCAGAGGAUGAGCCCUAUAUAAAAGACAUUAUACCCUCUCCCUAGCCUCUUUACCCUCUCUUGAAGUCCAGAAAACCCUAAUGCGCGUUUGUGAGUGAUUUGAGAGCAUUUGAACCUUGGAGAAGAGAUUUUGGAAGAGAUCUUGGAGAGUUAAGAGGCUUGGAGCAAGGGGAUUUGCUAGGAUUCGGAUUUCUCUUCUGUUGGAGCUUCCUUUUGAGGUAUUAUUUCGUUGCUUGGGCUGUUAUUCAUCUAGAUUCAUCAUUUUGGAGUAUUUGGAAAGAAUAGCUUGUGAUAUUUCGAGUUUGGAGGUUAGAUCUGGGGUUGCUACCUCAGAUCUGGAAUGGAGAAGGUCUAGAGUGCAUUACAGUCCCUGUUCUUGAGUGAUUGGUGAAACCAUCUUGUCCCAAACCCUAACCCUAGAGUGUUAUAUGCUUAGAUCUCUUUGGAUUCAUGUAAAGUUUGCCACUUUACGUGAUGGAUGGGUUGUAGAAGAGUAGAUCUAUGGUUUGGAUCAUCUGCAUGGCCUGGAAAGCUUCUGUAUGGAUUAAGAUCUAGGGGUACUCGGCGAGUCACAAGGGUGUACUCGGCGAGUUGCUUGAAGGUGGGCAGGAACUCGACGAGUUGGAAGAACAACUCGGCUAGUUGGUUGAAGAUAGCCUUGGACUCGGCGAAUUUAUUCUUGGACUCGGCGAGUCUGGUCGUGAGGUCCUAACCUUCUUCUGGUUGAGUCGUGAAUCGAUGUGUCAAGAGAGGACUCGGUGAGUUGAGUGCGAGGGGACUCAGAGUUGUUGGACUCGGCGAGUCUCGGGGAGUUGAGUCACGGAUUGGGAAAGUUCUAAGCUUGGGGACUCGACGAGUCAUCGGGUUGACUCGGCGAGUAGAGUUAGUCAGGAGUUUGACUUUGACCAAGGGUUGACCAGUUGACUUCCAGGGGCAUUUUAGUAAUUGUUGGCUUUUGUUUUGAGUUCAGUGUUGGUGUAGGCCAGUGGUGGAGAUCAUGUCAGUGGUCGGAGCAUCUCGGUCUUAUCUUUUCAGUCGGCAGUUACGAGGUGAGUUAUCCUCACUAUAUCAACAGGGUCUAAGGCACCAAGGCCGGUCCUUUAUCGGAUUGUAAUCCGGGUAUCGUUGUUAUGUUGUUUCUUUGCUAUGUUUGCAUCCUGGUAGUUAGGAUGGUAUAUGUUAGAGACCUGGUUAAGGUCGGUAUCCUGGUAUAUAGGAUGAUGCUAUGCUAGUGACCUGUUAGGUCGGUAUCCUGUUUAGAGUAUGUUAUGAUAUGUGAUCUGCUAGAUCGGUUUGAUUGAAUGUGAAUUGUUAUAUGAUUGUAUGGUUAUGUGCACAUGGUUCUUGGACUGGGGUUGGGCUGAGGCGGGUCCUGCUUUAUGUUGUAGGCCAACAUACCCAGGGCGGACCGGUUAUCCCGAAGGCCCAGCGAGCGGUCCGGAUAGGCUGUAGGCCCCGCGAGGGCAGACCAGACAUGCCGAGGCUCAGAGAGUGGACCAGGCUGACUGAAGGCACGGUGUGGGCGGACCAGUCAUAUUAUAGACUCAGGGAGUGGACCAGGUGGGUUGAAGGCCCGGUGCGGGCGGACCAACCACACUGUAGACUCGAUGGAUAUGGAUAGACUCGGAGGGGGGACCAGGUGGACUGAAGGCCCGGUAGGGUGGACCAGUCACACAGUAGACCCAAAGUGCAUGGCUGUUCUGUGUUCUGUUAUGAUAUGGCAUGUUGUGCGUGUAUGGUAUAUGUGGUUGGUAUUUUGGGGGUAUCUCACUAAGCUUUCGGGCUUAUAGUUGUGUUUUAAUGUUUUUUAGGUUCUUCAGGAGACUGUGGCAAGGCAAAGGCAUGAUCGUACCGCUCCUCAUGAUUAUGUUUUAUGAUGUGGUUCUGGGAAGACCCUGAUAAUAAUUAUAUUGAAAACCUUUUUUGUAAUAACUUUAUGAAACCGGGUUGUUUUUGAAAAGUUUAAAUUGUUUGAAUUUUUUUUGAGUGUUACAAUAUGUCAUCAACAUACAAAACCAAUAAAGAUACAUUUACUCCCACUAAAUUUGUGAUAGACAUAAUCAUCUACUUCAUUUACCUUAAAACUAAAUGAGAUAAUGAAUUGAUGAAACUUUUGGUACCACAGAUGGGGUACCCUAAGUUGAGGUUGUUGAGUUUGUUCAUUCUGAAUAUGCAUCACUACUGAAAAAAAACACUAAGAUUUUAUUAACAUAAAUACAUAAUGAAUCCUUGUGUUUUUAUAAUUUUCCCACUUCUCUUGCUAAACCUUGAGACUACAACUUCCAACCAAUUUUGGAGGAGGAGAUGAUAAUGGUCUUAUAAACAAGUGUUCCAAUAAGGAUAGACGCGCUCUCCUUGAUUUCAAGGUUGCCUUCAUGAUCCCUACGAAACUCUCUCUAUAUAUUAAGAGAUGAAGAAGAAGAUUAUUGUAAAUGGAGAGGAGUCACAUGCAACAACCAAACAAAUCAUGUCACGAAGCUUGAUGUUUCUGAACAUUGUCUUGAAGCUGAGAUUAGUAGUUCAUUACUUAAUUUUAGAAGUUUGAAUGAUCUUGAUAUUUCUUACAAUUCUUUUCAUGGAACCAGUCCAACCUUCAUUGGUUCCAUGAUUCGUUUAAGGUACCUUCACCUUGGUUUGAAUAAUCUGAAUGGAACUAUUCCCAGGCCCAUUGGUUCCUUGACAAAAUUAAGGCACAUUGACCUUUCAUAUAGCUCUUGUUAUUGAAUCAUCCAUCUAGAGUUUGGAAACCUCACAAACUUGCAAGUGCUUAAUAUUGGAUCCCAUGGAAAUUGUAGAUUUAGGAACCUAGAGUGGUUAUCUCAUAUUUCUCCUUUAGAGGCACUUGAAAUGGAUGGAUGAGCUCCAAACACUUUAAUGGAGGCCAUGAUUUCAUUAGAGAUGUUCUAAAGGAGGUGGGAUUGAAAAUGAUGAACCCUUAUGUAACAUCCUAUUUCCUGUCAUUUCUUAUUUCAGGGUUGUAGGCUGAAAUUCAAUUUUGUAAAGGCUUUGGCCCUUAAGGAGGUAAAGUUUAGUCCUUGUGGAUGGAGGUAAUAAUGGUUAAGAGAUCUGACCCUUGAACUAUGUAUUGGGCCAAAGGGUAGAAAGGGAAAAGUUAUAAGGUCGGGCUUCUUGCAUGAAAUAUGGAUUUUAUUUUGAGAAGUUUUUAUUCCAAAUCAAUUAUCUUAGAUUGUGGGGAUUUUCAAUACCUUUCCGUGCAUAUAAAGAACGCUAAAAUCGGAGUUGAAUCGAAGAAGUUAUGGUGGUUUGAAAGUAUGUUGACGUUGGGAAAGAAGGUGGUAUGUUGGGCGUACCUUAGGUACGCUAGGCGUACCAGCAUGGUCAAGUCAUGCCCUUAGAAACGUGUGCUAGGCGUACAAUUUGGUAUGUUGGGUGUACGCGAUCAGAACCCAAACCCUAAAUCUGUGGUUUUGAGCCCAAUUUAAGCUCCUUAACUCCUUUAGACCUUUUCCAUCCUUAUCCUCAAUCUCUCCAACAUCUUCUCUUGAAAACCUAACCCUAGUAUAAAUUUUGUGAGCUAAAGAUUGUGUUUCUUGGCAACUUUGAAAGGAAAAGGUGGUGAUAGUGCAUGGAAGCUUGAAGGAACUUUGGAUCUGGAAGUUCCCCUCCCUCAUUAAUCUGCAGAAGGUAUAAAGUUUGUACCUUUAUGCCUCCAUUGAUAGACCUAACUUAAGUGUUAAAGUUAUAUAACACCCGAAAUCUAGAUGGUUAAUUGAUGAAAUUUAGCCAAAUUCAAGUUGAACUCGGCGAGUUGGAGGAGCCAACUCGACAUGUUGAAGAUGGAAGAAUUGUGGAGAUUUAAUGGGCCAAGUCGACGAGUCGAGGAGCCUCAACUCGGCGAGUUGGAUGCUAUUUGAGAAACCCUAAUUUUUAGGGUUCAAGCCAUAUAAAUAUGUCAUUAUGUCCCAUGCCCCAGCCUCCUUAUCAGCCUCCUUAGCUCAGAAACUCUAAAACCUAACCCUUAUCAUCCUUAUGUGUUCUUAACCUUUUGAAGAUCACGUUUGGUAGCCUGGAGCCUUGGAAAGAAGAAUGUUGAAGAUAUGAUGGAUAACCUAUUGACCCAUGUUCAAAUCCUUACACCACUCAACCCUUAUAGCCAUGGAGGUUCGUCUGCAGUGACUCCAGGGCAUGAGACAAAACAUCAUGUUUGCAGCGGGGGAUUAAUCGGUACACGAAAGCUAGCCGGAAACCCUCGUUAGGGAAGUUCCCUUUCCAAAAAAACAAUAAAACUAUAAUGUAAUUAGAAUGAUAAAAAACAAAAUUUUAAAAAUGCUUUUUUGUUAAUAGACCAAGCAAAUGGACCCAACUUCUUUUGUGAAUGGAAGACAAAGUCUAGAUUGCACAACACACACAUAAAAAAAAAUAAAAAAUAAAAAAUAAAAAAUAAAAAAAACUUUGUGAAUGGAUGACCCAUAGUGGUAGAGUUUUCAAAUCAAAUGUCAUUAUUAUAUAUAUUACUCGGUAAUCUGAAUUGUAGUUCAAGAUUUAAUGCUAAACGAGUGUUAAAAAAAAAUUGUGAAUGGAUGACCCAUAGUGGUAGAGUUUUCAAGUCAAAUAUCAUUAUUAUAUAUAUUACUCGGUAAUCUGAAUUGUAGUUCAAGAAAUAAUGCUAAACAUGCGUGUUGCAGUUGCUAUAGGAGUGUAAAUGAGUUUAAUCCAUCGCUUUGAUGUUGCGACAAAUAAAGAUUUUGAUUAUAAAAAGCCUUACACUAAAGGAAUCUAAGAAUUGUAAAGAGGGUGGAAAAUUUCCAGAUUGAUUAUUAAAAUAUACAACAUUAACUUCAUUUUCAUCUUUUGUUUAUUUGCUACAAAAGUAUGAACUCUCAGCAUGUCUUAUUUCACCCUAUGCGAUAAAGUGGACACCCAUGGUGUUAGUGGCAUUUUUAUUGAUAUUGGGAACUUAAAAACCCCUGCCAAAUUACAAUACGAUGACCCUAGCCUUAAAAAGAACAGUAACGGUCUGUUCAAGAUAAGAUACAUACUAGAAAACAAGUUAAAAAGAAAAACUAUGUAUGUCUAACCCUUUGCAAAUUUGCGAUGAACACCACCACCUUCAUAUAAACCCAAUCUUUGAACCCAUCAAAAUAGUAAAAAAACUUAUGCCUACCACGACGGUUGAGAAGUAGAGUGCCACAUGCCAUACAAAACCCAGUAACAAAACCAGUGCCCCCACCAAUAUAGAACCAUCUCUCAAGUUCAUCUAUGUCUUCCUCAUCACCCUCGCUUUUAUCAACGAUUGAUGGUACUUGUGAUCCUUCAUCUCCUCGACAUUUUCUGGAAAGGGGAGGUCCACAGAGUCCUGCAUUUCCAUCAUAUCUUGAAGGUUCAAAGGACUGGAGUUGAGUGCUUGAUGGGAUUCUCCCUGACAAGUUAUUACACGACAUGUCUAGGUAACUCAAGAAGGUCAUUUGAGACAUGGUUGAUGGUAUCCCUCCUGAUAAACUGUUUCUAGAUAAAUCCAAAGCCAAAAGGUUUUUCAUCUGACCAACUUGCUGUGGAAUCUCUCCAUGUAGAGCGUUUUUUGACAAGUUCAGGGCAAGCAGUUCAUGGAGAUCGGUGAGUUCAUAUGGGAUAUGUCCAGUUAGAUUGUUGCUUGACAGGUCAAUGCUCUUCAACAAUCCCAGAUUACUGGUGAAUUCACGCUCAUCUCCUUGCCACUCGAUCAUCGCAUAGUCAACAUACUCCACAUCAAUGCGAAAUAAAUUAAUAUAAAAUGAAUAAGGUGAAGGUGCUGUAUAGGAAUGCACGUUUGGUGGUGGUAAAAAUCCUUCUUGAGCCAUUCUCGUAAGAUUAUUCAAACAUGAGGGGAUGCUUCCAUGAAGAUUGUUCCUUGAAAAGUCUAAAAUUUGAAGAUACGGUAAUUGACAUACCUGUAAAGGGAUGGUUCCGACGAGGUUGUUUGAUCUUAGGAUAAGACCAUACAGCCUUGAAAAGUUUUCCCCAAUCCAAAAAGGCACAUUACCAGAAAACUUGUUGGCCCCCAAAUUCAAAAAACUCAAACUCGUGCAAUUCUUUAAAGACAAAGACAAUUCUCCGGAGAAGUUGUUCUGGUACAAAUACAACACCUCCAGUUGUACCAAAGACCCAAUAGAGGGAGGAAGCUUUCCAAAUAGACUGUUGUGUCCUAGAUUGAGAACUUUUAGUUCAUUGAAAUGCCACAAACAAUCUGGAAUUUGUCCGGUUAGAGAGUUAUGGGAGAGGUCAAGAAAUUGUAAAAACCCAUCGACAAUUUGGCAAAUGAAGGAGAUUCCUCCAGAGAAUUUGUUUCUGGAAAGAUUUAACAAUGCCAAACUGGAAGGAAGAUCCGGUAUUGGACCCGUAAAGCUGUUGGAGCUCAAAUCUAUCAAUUUACUUUUGGCAAAACUUGAUAGAUCCGGUACUUCCCCACUGACGUUGUUGGAAGAGAGAUUCAAAUAGCUGAAUUGCAUGUUCCAAAAUUGUGGAGGAACUGCAUCUGAAAUUCUAGUGUUGGAAAUAUCAAGAAGGGUAAGAUUUUCCAGUUUUUGAAUCCAUUUGGGGAAGUGGGGCCCUAGGUUGCAAGAGCUCAGAUCAAGCUGCUCUACAGAAGAAAGGUUUGACAUAUGAUCUGCGGAAGGAACUCCUUGGAGUGGGUUUUUCGAAAGGUUUAUAAUACGAGCCUUCGACUUUCCAAUGUUUUCAGAGAUGGCACCACUAAGAUAAUUUUGAGAAACGUCGAUCUUUUUAAGUUUGGGUAGUUCCCACAGUUUCUCGCUUAUGGUUCCAUUCAUGUGAUUAUCUGAUAGGCCCAGAAAUGAUAGGGAUGAAAAGUUUUGGAUGAAAUCAGGCAGUGACCCUUUAAAUUGGUUUCUUCGAGCAUACAACUCUUGUAGUGUAAGGGAUGUGCAUCCAGACAAUUUGCUGAGAAAAUCAGGAAAAUUGACAACAGCAGAGUUGUUAUCAAAUGCAAAAUAUUCCAGACUACAGAGGUUACCAAGAUAUUUGGGUAUCCCAUCUAACAUGUUGCCAGAGAGCAAAAGAACACGAAGCUUAUUGGUGGUUAAUGGGAACAGCCAACGAUACAUGGAUGAGGUGAGAUUGUUGUUUUGGAGAGAAAGGAAUUCAAUAGAUGAAGAAGAAGAAGAGUUGAGAAAUGAAGAAGAAUAUGGAUACAUGACCUGUGACAGCUCACAUCCAUCUAAACUUAAAUCUGAUAGUUUUGGGAGAUUCAAAAUCACAUUUACCCACUGGUUUGCUUUGGCAAGGGAAAUCCCAUCCAUUUCAAGUAUCUCCAAAUGAGAAAGAUGGGACAACCACUCUAUGUUUUCAACACUACAUCUUCCAACGUAUCCAAGGGAAAGCUCUUGCAAGUUGGUGAGGUUUCCGAACUCUUGAGGAAUGGUUCCAUAAAAAGAGUUAUUUGAAAGGUCAAGGAACAUUAAUUCGGUCAAGGAACCAAAGGACCUGGGAAUGGUUCCAUUAAAGAAAUUUCCGAAAAGAUCAAGACGAUUCAAGUAGGUUAAGUUAACCAAUGAAGGGCUAAUCUCACCUACAAGACCAAAAGAUCUAAUCUCAAGCCCUGUGACAUGAUGGCCUGUUUCAUCGUCACACAUGACUCCUCUCCAUUCACAACAUUCAUCAUCUUCAGGUCUCCAUGUAGAGAGACCACCAUAAGGGUCUUGAAGGUUUGCUUUGAAUUGAAGGAGAGCAUGUCUCUCCUUAUCCAAACACUUGUUUGUGACAACACCAUUAUCAUCUCCUCCUCCUCCUUCCAUUGCUACCAGUUGGUUGGUAGUUGUAUUCUGAACGAAUAGCAAGAGAAAUGAGAAAAUUAUAAAAACACAACGAUGCAUGAUGUAAAUGCAGAUGUACGUUGGUGAAUUUUGCUUGUGUUGAUGUAUACAUAUACAAAUAUGCCCCUAUGAAGGUUAUAUAUAUAGCCAAUGCCAACCGUGAAGAUAAAUUAUUAAAGUGGAUGGACUCAAAUUGGUGGCCUAUUUGCAUGGGGCAUACAACACUUACUUUCCAUGAAAUUUAAAUUGACCCAAAGUAGACCUUCGAAGACUUGCAAGUCAUGGCAAUUUGUAUUUAAUAUUAAUAUCUUUUCCAAUAUUGUAAUAUUUUUU